rnacentral:lncRNA from 10 species
GUAAAAAGUCCCCAUUGCACAUGAAACCUCAGGCCAAGUGUUCUUGACAGCUCAUCCACAGACUCCCACUGGUAAAGCAGCAUGAGGAUGGCUUCUGUUAUUUUAUUUCAGAAUUUUUUCCUGCAGUGGCAUGCCAGUACCAGCUGAGGAUCAUGUAUGCAAUAUUUGCCUUCUUUCAUCUUCUACCUAGGAUGGCUUUAAUUCUCUUCGAGGAGAAUUUAUUUUAGUUUUUCCCAGUAAGAGAAUCCACUUCUCUUGCCCAUAUUCAUAAAUUAUCAUUAAAAAUUAAACUUGGUACAAUAAAUAUUAACAUGGUUCCAGCUUCUCCAUUGUUAUGCUCAGAAUUCAGUUCAUUGGCAGGAUCUAGGCAUAGGAUCAGUCCAAAGUUGGGCCAAGGCACAAGGAAGGUUUGCACAAGUUUAGAGCAUCAUUGAGAAUCCAUAUGGCAUCAAAUUCUGACCAUCAGAACCAAUCAUUUUAGUCAAAUUGCUGAGACACAAAUUAAGUCCAGGAAUCGGUAG